GUUCACAGCCGACAAACAACACGAGACGAAGAGCAACAGAAUAAGCGACUGUGAUUGGUUGCUGGAUCCUAUAAAAACAACAGAGCGCAGACUACCGGUAGCAAUAGCAGCAUGGAUGCGGAUCGGCUAGUGCUGUUAAAGGUUCGCCACCGCCUCUGUAGUCAGUUACUGAGAGGAAGAAGCAGUCCGGGGAGCCAACGGCUCCACAGCCGAGCAAACUGUUCGUUGUUCGGUGAGCUUUGGGGGGGCUGCGGUCCGGUCUGACCACUGAGAAGAUAGCUACAUGAGAUGAGCUAACAUGCUAACGUUAGCUCCAGGCUCUUCUAUGGACUGAGGAGCAGAGUCCCUGUUUCUCAGGGGGGACCAGACCUCUGGCUGGCUGCUGACAGACCACUUUCUACACCGAGUGCUGAAGAGGGCCAUGGCUCCCAGCAUCUACCCUCCCCACAGGAACUCUUCACUGGGUCCAGCUUCAAAGGGUCUGAGAUGGGAGACGGUUCUGGUCCAGUCUAGAGAGAGCAGAGUCCCUGUUUCUCAGGGGGGACCAGACCUCUGGCUGCUGACAGACCACUUUCUACACAGAGGGCUGAAGAGGGCCAUGGCUCCCAGCGUCUACCCCCCCCACGCUACCUGAACGGGAACUCUUCACUGGGUCCAGCUUCAAAGGGUCUGAGACGGGACACGGUUCUACAUGAUCCAGCCUGGAGAGAGCAGAGUCCCUGUUUCUCAGGGGGGACCAGACCUCUGGCUGGCUGCUGACAGACCACUUUCUACACCGAGGGCUGAAGAGGACCAUGGCUCCCAGCGUCUACCCUCCCCACGCUACCUGAACAGGAACUCUUCACUGGGUCCAGCUUCAAAGGGUCUGAGACGGGACGCGGUUCUACAUGAUCCAGCCUAGAGAGAGCAGAGGGGGACCAGACCUCUGGCUGCUGACAGACCACUUUCUACACAGAGCGCUGAAGAGGACCAUGGCUCCCAGCGUCUACCCUCCCCACGCUACCUGAACGGGAACUCUUCACUGGGUCCAGCUUCAAAGGGUCUGAGACGGGACACGGUUCUACAUGAUCCAGCCUAGAGAGAGCAGAGUCCCUGUUUCUCAGGGGGGACCAGACCUCUGGCUGGCUGCUGACAGACCACUUUCUACACCGAGGGCUGAAGAGGACCAUGGCUCCCAGCGUCUACCCUCCCCACGCUACCUGAACAGGAACUCUUCACUGGGUCCAGCUUCAAAGGGUCUGAGACGGGACGCGGUUCUACAUGAUCCAGCCUAGAGAGAGCAGAGUCCCUGUUUCUCAGGGGGGACCAGACCUCUGGCUGGCUGCUGACAGACCACUUUCUACACCGAGUGCUGAAGAGGACCAUGGCUCCCAGCAUCUACCCCCCCCCACGCUACCUGAACGGGAACUCUUCACUGGGUCCAGCUUCAAAGGGUCUGAGACGGGACACGGUUCUACAUGAUCCAGCCUAGAGAGAGCAGAGGGGGACCAGACCUCUGGCUGCUGACAGACCACUUUCUACACAGAGGGCUGAAGAGGACCAUGGCUCCCAGCGUCUACCCUCCCCACGCUACCUGAACGGGAACUCUUCACUGGGUCCAGCUUCAAAGGGUCUGAGACGGGACACCGUUCUACAUGAUCCCAGCCUAGAGAAACGGACUCUUCCUCCCGCGCUGUGAUGUCAGACCUCCCAACACGACACAGCGGUGAGUGACAUCACACCUGUGAUGUAACAGCUGCUGGGAGAUGAUGUGAACAAAAGGCCGAAUUGUAGCCCCUUUCUCAGAGCGGGGGCGCCAUGACAAAGACGGACCGAAGCGUUCUUCUGAUCCCGUGACAGCCCUGCGUUACAUGUUUACCCGUUACUCUGAGGCCGUGUAACGGCUGUGUUUGAUUGGUCGUCUACGGGCUGCAUCACUAACCUCUGUUCUCUGAUUGGUUAGGAGCUCUGGAGCGCCGACUGCACACGUUGAGCUACACCGGAGAACCGGGAUUAAGCCACGAUUUACCACUUAUUCUGGCUCAGUUUAGCAAAGGUACCUGAGUUACCAUGGAGACUUAUUCUGUACAGCUAGCCUGCUCCUGACCAGGCUAACAGCUAGCCAGGCAAACAGCUAGCCUGCUCCUGAGCAGGCUAACAGCUAGCCAGGCAAACAGCUAGCCUGCUCCUGAGCAGGUUAACAGCUAGCCAGGCAAACAGCUAGCCUGCUCCUGAGCAGGUUAACAGCUAGCCAGGCUAACAGCUAGCCUGCUCCUGAGCAGGCUAACAGCUAGCCAGGCUAACAGCUA